AUUCGACCAUUUGGACAGACCCCUCCGUUAUUGAGUACAUGAGGUAAACUCAAAAUCAUGUUUAUGAGUGUCCCGGGUUGGAUAUAAAAGGGAGAUGAAUAAACCAGCUGUCUGAUGUUUAUAUCUGAUAACUAACAAGACAGGUGUUAUCAUUUCCUCUAAAAGAGAAGUUUCCAAGUUUUACAAGUGGCGACGAGGAUAGAAUAGAUAGUGAAAAAUUUUGUUUGCUUUGUUCGGCAGAGGUCAGGUGCAACUGUUUACCGACCAUUUUGGCCGCAACUACAUUCAAUUUGGAGUGCAGAAAGAAGGUUUUGGAGUUGUUCGAGGAGAUUGCUGGUGAAUUUGAAAGGCUGUUGUUGGUUGCUGUUGUUUGUUGCUGUGGAUGAUCGGUUUUGCAGAUGGUUCUUAUCCGAUAGUGAGCUGGGUGAAUUCUGUUUCGUGCCGGGUUUUUGAUUGAUCAACAGUACAACCGUCAAGGUCUCCCUUGGUGGCCGUCUUUUAUCGUCACACCGGCAACAGAUUCGUUUGGUGGAAAAGCCCGAUCGGAAAACUACAAUAGUUUUGUUUGAUCGCAAUGCACCAGUCCGUCCAACCAGUACAGCUACCGCUCGACAAGCAGAAUCUGACGAAGAAGACUUUUACGGUUUUGCAUUGGAAUCGCAAAUUUUCCAUGCGCCCGUUUCGAUGUCGAUUCCAACAACAACAACGUCAAGUCAUGCAGCUCCAACUUCGUCAUCAACAUCGAGAAAACGAAGCAGUUCUGAAAAAGAAAUUUGGAAAUCGAAGCGAGUCAAAAUAUCGAAUAAGCGAAAUGAUUAUUAUUAUUAUUAAGAAACAAAUAGUAUUAAGCCAUUGUGAAUUAUAAAAACUUAAAGGGGGAAGAACUGUAGCAUUCGACCAUUUGGACAGACCCCUCCGUUAUUGAGUACAUGAGGUAAACUCAAAAUCAUGUUUAUGAGUGUCCCGGGUUGGAUAUAAAAGGGAGAUGAAUAAACCAGCUGUCUGAUGUUUAUAUCUGAUAACUAACAA